CCCCUUUUAAAAGCACUCAGUGGGCCUUUUCCUGAUACCCACUGAGUCGUCAAGAAAGGGAAGAAUAAAAACAUCACUUUUGUGUGAAGCGGCAGCAUCUUACGUUGUUUUGAUUCAAUCAGUGGUAUGACGAUG
rnacentral:snoRNA from 1 species